GAGAUAUUAGUAUAAUUUUGUAUGUUUCUUUUUCGAAGAAGAGGUUUUUAUCUUA
rnacentral:tRNA from 1 species